AGCAUAUCAAUAAGCGGAGGAAAAGAAACUAACAAGGAUUCCCCUAGUAACUGCGAGUGAAGCGGGAAGAGCUCAAAUUUAAAAUCUGGCGUGCCUCUGGUCGUCCGAGUUGUAGUCUGGAGAAGCGUUUUCCGUGUUGGACCGUGUAUAAGUCUCUUGGAACAGGGCGUCAUAGAGGGUGAGAAUCCCGUCUUUGACACGGACUACCAAUGCUUUGUGAUGCGCUCUCAAAGAGUCGAGUUGUUUGGGAAUGCAGCUCAAAAUGGGUGGUAAAUUCCAUCUAAAGCUAAAUAUAGGCGAGAGACCGAUAGCGAACAAGUACCGUGAGGGAAAGAUGAAAAGCACUUUGGAAAGAGAGUUAAACAGUACGUGAAAUUGCUGAAAGGGAAACGCUUGAAGUCAGUCAUGUCUGCCAGGACUCAGCCUUGCUUCUGCUUGGUGCACUUUCUGGUUUGAUGGGCCAACAUCAAUUUUGACCGUUGGAGAAAGGCUUUGGGAAUGUGGCACCUUUGGGUGUGUUAUAGCCCUUUGUCGUAUACAACGGUUGGGAUUGAGGACCGCAGCACGCCUUUAUGGCCGGGGUUCGCCCACGUACGUGCUUAGGAUGUUGGCAUAAUGGCUUUAAGCGACCCGUCUUG
rnacentral:rRNA from 1 species